rnacentral:rRNA from 1 species
UGGGGAAUUUUGGACAAUGGGCGCAAGCCUGAUCCAGCCAUGCCGCGUGCGGGAAGAAGGCCUUCGGGUUGUAAACCGCUUUUGUCAGGGAAGAAAUCUUCUGAGUUAAUACCUCGGGAGGAUGACGGUACCUGAAGAAUAAGCACCGGCUAACUACGUGCCAGCAGCCGCGGUAAUACGUAGGGUGCAAGCGUUAAUCGGAAUUACUGGGCGUAAAGCGUGCGCAGGCGGUUUUGUAAGACAGAGGUGAAAUCCCCGGGCUCAACCUGGGAACUGCCUUUGUGACUGCAAGGCUUGAGUGCGGCAGAGGGGGGAUGGAAUUCCGCGUGUAGCAGUGAAAUGCGUAGAUAUGCGGAGGAACACCGAUGGCGAAGGCAAUCCCCUGGGCCUGCACUGACGCUCAUGCACGAAAGCGUGGGGAGCAAACAGGAUUAGAUCCCUGGUAGUCCACGCCCUAAACGAUGUCAACUGGUUGUUGGGAAGGUUCCUUCUCAGUAACGUAGCUAACGCGUGAAGUUGACCGCCUGGGGAGUACGGCCGC